AGACAUUUUAUAGUGAGGAACUAAUAAUCUAUACAUAUACAAACAACUUUAUAAAAAGAUUUUCACACAUAGCAAUAAAACUCAAGUAAUAUUUGUAUGAGACCCUUGAACUGGAGGUGAGCUCUUGGAUAUUCUUCGUGUAUAUAUUCCCUCUGUGAUAAUGCUUAGGCUUCAUUGACUGCAGUGCUACAAUGCUAGGCUAUAGACAAGAAUUUUGCAUUACAUAUCAACCCUCAUGUUAUGUAAAGUAGAUGGGGUUAGGGUAAGCAGAGAAGUACAUAUUUUCCUUCUUGUCAUUAUAAUACUAUUUCUUUUUUUUGGCAAUAUUAUUGCUUAAGUGACCUCAUUUUUCUAGUGAAAGCUAAAAUCAUAAACUUGUUCAAUGCACAAUACCUCCUUAGGCUUGGUUGACCCUUUAGAUGACCAAUUAAAGUGAUUCAUUUUAUAUAAGUGUGUGAAAUAGUCUUUCCUUUUGCUUUUUUUCUUUUCAUUUUUCUCUCUAGUUAUGGAUCUCUUUCUCUCUCUCUCUCUCUCUUUCACACACAGACACACACACAGACACACACACACGAGACAAAGAGUGGACUCUUUGUUUAUAGACAAUGAGGGUCUUUUAGAAGCUUGAGGCUAGUGACUCUGGAUUACAGUGCCAUUCUGAGCUGGAUGCAGGCAAGUGAGGAAGCACGACCCCAAAUGGCUAUUCUGGGACAAUUUCUGAGCUGCAAAGGUUUGCAUUUUGGAUCAGUGCUGAGUUGUCUUUGUUUGGCAGUUGUGCGGGAAGCAGUCCCAGAAUUUCUAGGCUACCUUAAGAAAGUCUUGAAGAACCAUACAGCUCAUGCAUGUGAAGGAGAGAAAUUGGGACUCACUUGCCCACAAAAGGCAUCUAUCAGCAUCCUUUCUGCUCCAACUCCAAUUGUGAACUACCGAAUAAAGACAGUGUGUGAGAAUGGUACACUGAGGCUUCGAUGCAGAAAUAAAUCUGUCUUGACAAUUUUCUCUGCAAGUUAUGGCAAAUUCAUGGAAGGAAAACAAGAAUGUGAUGUAAUGAAUAAAAACGGACCUGUCAUAGGUAUGUUGGAAAUAGAAGACAGACAAAUCUACAGUAGAAAUUUCCAAAUUCUCUGA
rnacentral:lncRNA from 1 species